ensembl:lncRNA
UGGAAUAUGAAUGUGAUGAAGGCGACAGGCAAAAUAUCCCCCCAUACGUCAGACGUGGGUUCACACACCCCGAUGAAAGAGGUGUAGGUGAUGACAGACACAGAUAAUGCUUCAUGGCAGUAAUGAUAAGGAGCCUCCACUCGUAUCCCAUCAGAAAAAACCCCCACAGCAAACCCAAAUGACUGCAGUCUUAUCAGCGAUCUCACAAUUAAUGCGACUCCAUUUUGAAGUAAUGCGUGCCUUUUCAUCCACAAAUGGAUUAGAGAUUUCAAGCCUCUUAAUAUUGAUUUAUUUGUAUACUUUGUCCUCAGAAGGAUAUUACUACCCGCAUAUCAUCAGCAAAAUGCUUUGCAAAUGUUACACUGAUAUGGUGAUAGGGUACUAAGAAUUGUGAGUGAGUUCAAAUAUUGAUUCAGUAUAUUUUAUGUUAUGUGAGGGUUGAAGAUAGGUUUUGCAUUUGUCAUUUUACUGUUUGGAGACCUGUUUGGUAUUGGUCUGUGGGUGCGCGCAUUCGCCCGUCACUUUUGCGGGGGAGUGUGUGAAUUGGUGUGUGUGUGAUGGUGUGUGUGUGUGUGAGAGAGAGAGAGAGAGAGAGUUAAAGUAUAUGUGUGCUUGACCUGUGGUCUGCUAUCUGAUCAGUCCUUCCGGCUGUAAAACUUUGUCUUAUCUCUUUUUUUAUAGAAUUCACAUGAAAGUCCCCAUACCAGAACAUUCUCAGAAAUAAACCAGAGUGAAAACCUUUAACCUUUUACCUCAAAUUCAAAUCAUCAACAAUUGAACCUCAUGAUAGUUAUGGACAUACUGUCACGUCCUGACCAUAGAGAGCCCUUGUUUCUCUAUGGUGGAGUAGGUCAGGGC